rnacentral:rRNA from 1 species
UGGGGAAUAUUGGACAAUGGGCGAAAGCCUGAUCCAGCCAUGCCGCGUGUGUGAAGAAGGUCUUCGGAUKGKKNAGCACUUUAAGUUGGGAGGAAGGGCAUUAACCUAAUACGUUGGUGUCUUGACGUUACCGACAGAAUAAGCACC